rnacentral:tRNA from 1 species
GGGUCGCCUCGGACAGCACCGGGCGGUCCCCGCCGGGUGGGACGGUGCGCUGCGAGACGUACGCGUCGAGCGCGCGGUGCUUCGCCGCGCGGUCCGCC